GUUUCAAGUUUUUAAUUGAAGAAUGAAAUUAACUGCUAAAUCUUUUUCUUUUGGAAGAGAGAUGUUAUUUAGUUUAUCAUGGAAGGUCAUUAUUGCUAGGCAAAAAACCUUUUGGUUGGAAUUUAAUUAUCAUGAUUCUAAAGUUGCAAUCAUGAAUAUUGGUUGGACUCUAAUGUUUGCAAUGGACGGUUUUGGUAUACCAUAAGCAGUGUUAUUGGAAGCACGAGACAAAGUUGGUGGUGUCUAAAACUGAUUAACGUCAGCACAAAGCUAGCUUUUAUGUUGAGAAAGGAAAAGCCCAAGAAGUAAUGGAUUAUGAUAAUCAACAUAGAAGUUAGUCAUUUAGUUGUCCUCUAGGAUCCAACCCAUGCUGAUUGUGCUGCCCCCCAGCAUAUGGGACUUUUAGCAUUGCAAUGAGACGUUUGCUACCAAUUUUUGUUUGGCAGAGGCCGGAUUGAAAGUUAUUGAAGAGAACUUUUACAGAAAAAAUGGCAUAAUACAAUAUUAUUGUGCGUAAGGUGAUCUGUUUUGUUGCUUUGUUGCAAUCGUGAGAAGGUUUUCUGAACCAUGAAGCCAUUCAAAAGGCAGAGAGGUCUCGGAUGGAGCCAUACAUUGAAGCACCUUUAUUAUUUUUCGACAUCCAUUGUCCCUGUUAGCAUGUCUUUCAUUGAGGAAAGUCCUCACGGUUGUAUUUCAAGGUGUCAAAAAGCAACAUACCAUGCUUCAGGUUGUCUAUCUUUUGUUAAGUAAUAAUAUAUGAUUAUCAACAAAUUUGAGUUUUCAAUAAAUUCGAGUUUCCAUCUCUUUGUUUAAUAGUAAAAGAGGGUAUGAUACUUGCAAACACUACUUCAAUCUGUAUACAGCCAAAAGUUGACAAAA